rnacentral:tRNA from 1 species
GCCGCGAUAGCUCAGGGGUAGAGCAGGGGCUUGAAGAGCCUCGUGUCGGGUGUUCGAUUCACCCUCGCGGCACCA